rnacentral:rRNA from 1 species
GACAGAGGGUGCAAACGUUGUUCGGAAUUACUGGGCGUAAAGCGUGUGUAGGCGGCUUUGUAAGUCGGAUGUGAAAGCCCCGGGCUCAACCCGGGAAGUGCACUCGAUACUGCGAAGCUUGAGUACUGGAGAGGUUGGUGGAAUUCUCGGUGUAGAGGUGAAAUUCGUAGAUAUGUAUUAGAACACCGAUUGCGAAGGCAGUUCACUAGGCGUGUAUUGACACUGAGGCACGAAAGCGUGGGGAUCAAACAGG